GAUGAACGCUGGCGGCGUGCCUAAUACAUGCAAGUCGAGCGAACGGACGAGAAGCUUGCUUCUCUGAUGUUAGCGGCGGACGGGUGAGUAACACGUGGAUAACCUACCUAUAAGACUGGGAUAACUUCGGGAAACCGGAGCUAAUACCGGAUAAUAUUUUGAACCGCAUGGUUCAAAAGUGAAAGACGGUCUUGCUGUCACUUAUAGAUGGAUCCGCGCUGCAUUAGCUAGUUGGUAAGGUAACGGCUUACCAAGGCAACGAUGCAUAGCCGACCUGAGAGGGUGAUCGGCCACACUGGAACUGAGACACGGUCCAGACUCCUACGGGAGGCAGCAGUAGGGAAUCUUCCGCAAUGGGCGAAAGCCUGACGGAGCAACGCCGCGUGAGUGAUGAAGGUCUUCGGAUCGUAAAACUCUGUUAUUAGGGAAGAACAUAUGUGUAAGUAACUGUGCACAUCUUGACGGUACCUAAUCAGAAAGCCACGGCUAACUACGUGCCAGCAGCCGCGGUAAUACGUAGGUGGCAAGCGUUAUCCGGAAUUAUUGGGCGUAAAGCGCGCGUAGCGGUUUUUUAAGUCUGAUGUGAAAGCCCACGGCUCAACCGUGGAGGGUCAUUGGAAACUGGAAAACUUGAGUGCAGAAGAGGAAAGUGGAAUUCCAUGUGUAGCGGUGAAAUGCGCAGAGAUAUGGAGGAACACCAGUGGCGAAGGCGACUUUCUGGUCUGUAACUGACGCUGAUGUGCGAAAGCGUGGGGAUCAAACAGGAUUAGAUACCCUGGUAGUCCACGCCGUAAACGAUGAGUGCUAAGUGUUAGGGGGUUUCCGCCCCUUAGUGCUGCAGCUAACGCAUUAAGCACUCCGCCUGGGGAGUACGACCGCAAGGUUGAAACUCAAAGGAAUUGACGGGGACCCGCACAAGCGGUGGAGCAUGUGGUUUAAUUCGAAGCAACGCGAAGAACCUUACCAAAUCUUGACAUCCUUUGACAACUCUAGAGAUAGAGCCUUCCCCUUCGGGGGACAAAGUGACAGGUGGUGCAUGGUUGUCGUCAGCUCGUGUCGUGAGAUGUUGGGUUAAGUCCCGCAACGAGCGCAACCCUUAAGCUUAGUUGCCAUCAUUAAGUUGGGCACUCUAAGUUGACUGCCGGUGACAAACCGGAGGAAGGUGGGGAUGACGUCAAAUCAUCAUGCCCCUUAUGAUUUGGGCUACACACGUGCUACAAUGGACAAUACAAAGGGCAGCGAAACCGCGAGGUCAAGCAAAUCCCAUAAAGUUGUUCUCAGUUCGGAUUGUAGUCUGCAACUCGACUACAUGAAGCUGGAAUCGCUAGUAAUCGUAGAUCAGCAUGCUACGGUGAAUACGUUCCCGGGUCU
rnacentral:rRNA from 1 species